UACGGAGGGUGCAAGCGUUAUCCGGAUUCACUGGGUUUAAAGGGUGCGUAGGUGGGCAGGUAAGUCAGUGGUGAAAUCUCCGGGCUUAACCCGGAAACUGCCAUUGAUACUAUUUGUCUUGAAUACCGUGGAGGUCAGCGGAAUAUGUCAUGUAGCGGUGAAAUGCUUAGAUAUGACAUAGAACACCAAUUGCGAAGGCAGCUGGCUACACGAAUAUUGACACUGGAUGCACGAAAGCGUUGGGGAUCAAACAGGA
rnacentral:rRNA from 1 species